CAGGAAGAAAAUCAAGAGAGUGUUACGUGACACCCCUGACCCCCCCCCCUUCGCAUUAGAUCAAUCAGGCAAUGUUCGUGUUUGAGGGACGGGCGUAAAUCAGCCGAGAAACGGGAUCGACUCUCACUACACAGGGAUGGCUGGAGGAUAGGUGUUCCAGGAACCUUUUCUCUCGAAACCUCCCCUUUUUGAACCUUUUCUACUCCCCCACUCCCUCCCUGCCAGUCGAUUUGAUUGCUCACACUUCGACACUCCUCUCCCCCCCCCCUACCUCUACCCCUUUAAUCGUUGGCUCCGACUACGACACAACACCCGGCCUCGGCUUCGGCUUCCGUUACGAACUGGUUGUUUAGGCGUUCGGACAUGGCGUCGACAAGAACAGCUC